GGGGGGGGCAAGCGUUGUUCGGAAUUACUGGGCGUAAAGGGCUCGUAGGCGGCCAAUUAAGUCAGACGUGAAAUCCCUCGGCUUAACCGGGGAACUGCGUCUGAUACUGGAUGGCUUGAGUUUGGGAGAGGGAUGCGGAAUUCCAGGUGUAGCGGUGAAAUGCGUAGAUAUCUGGAGGAACACCGGUGGCGAAGGCGGCAUCCUGGACCAACACUGACGCUGAUGAGCGAAAGCCAGGGGAGCAAACGGGAUUAGAUACCCCGGUAGUCCUGGCCCUAAACGAUGAAUGCUUGGUGUGACGGGUAUCGAUCCCUGUCGUGCCGAAGCUAACGCAUUAAGCAUUCCGCCUGGGGAGUACGGUCGCAAGGCUGAA
rnacentral:rRNA from 1 species